rnacentral:rRNA from 1 species
UCCUUCGGGAGGAAGCAGUGAAAGGAAAGCGGCGGACGGGUGAGUAACGCGUGAGUAACCUGCCUUCAGGAGGGGGAUAACAUUCCGAAAGGGAUGCUAAUACCGCAUGACAUUGUUUUUCUGCAUGGAAUAACAAUCAAAGAUUUAUCGCCUGAAGAUGGACUCGCGUCUGAUUAGAUAGUUGGUGGGGUAAAGGCCUACCAAGUCGACGAUCAGUAGCCGAACUGAGAGGUUGAUCGGCCACAUUGGGACUGAGACACGGCCCAGACUCC